rnacentral:rRNA from 1 species
GACGAACGCUGGCGGCGUGCUUAACACAUGCAAGUCGAACGGAAAGGCCCUGCUUUUGUGGGGUGCUUGAGUGGCGAACGGGUGAGUAACACGUGAGUAACCUGCCCUUGACUUUCGGAUAACUUCAGGAAACUGGGGCUAAUACCGGAUAGGAGCUACUGCUGCAUGGUGGGGGUUGGAAAGAUUCGGCGGUUUGGGCUGGUUUGGCGGCUUAUCAGCUAGUUGGUGGGGUAGUGGCUUACCAGGGCUUUGACGGGUAGCCGGCCUAGGAGGGUGACCGGCCACAUUGGGACUGAGGGACGGCCCAGACUGCUACGGGAGGCAGCAGUGGGGAAUAUUGCACAAUGGGCGGAAGCCUGAUGCAGCAACGCCGCGUGCGGGAUGACGGCCUUCGGGUUGUAAACCGCUUUCGCCUGUGACGAAGCGUGAGUGACGGUAAUGGGUAAAGAAGCACCGGCUAACUACGUG